rnacentral:rRNA from 1 species
AACGCGGGCGGCGUGCUUAACACAUGCGAGGCGAGCGAAGCGCCCGAGUAGAUUUCUUCGGAUUGAAACGAGGGAUGACUGAGCGGCGGACGGGUGAGGAACGCGUGGGUAACCUGCCUCACUACGGGGGAUAACAGUUAGAAAUGACUGCUAAUACCGCAUAAGCGCCCCGGACCGCAUGGUCUGGUGUGAAAAACUCCGGUGGUAUGAGAUGGACCCGCGUCAGAUUAGCCAGUUGGCGGGGUAACGGCCCACCAAAGCGACGAUCUGUAGCCGGCCUGAGAGGGCGACCGGCCACAUUGGGACUGAGACACGGCCCAAAACUCCUACGGGAGGCAGCAGUGGGGAAUAUUGCACAAUGGGGGAAACCCUGAUGCAGCGCCGCCGCGUGAGUGAUGAAAGUAUUUCGGUACGUAAAGCUCUAUCAGCAGGGAAGAAGACGACGGUACCUGACUAAGAAGCCCCGGCUAACUACGUGCCAGCAGCCGCGGUAAUACGUAGGGGGCAAGCGUUAUCCGGAUUUACUGGGUGUAAAGGGAGCGCAGACGGCAGUGCAAGUCUGAAGUGAAAUGCAGGGGCUCAACCCCUGAAUUGCUUUGGAAACUGUACAGCUAGAGUAUCGGAGGGGUAAGCGGAAUUCCUAGUGUAGCGGUGAAAUGCGUAGAUAUUAGGAAGAACACCGGUGCCGAAGGCGGAUUCCUGGUACGUAUCUGACGCUGAGGCGCGAAAGUCGGGGGAGCAAACAGGAUUAGAUACCCUGGUAGUCCCGACCUUAAACGGUGCAAACUCGGGGUGGGGGGAUUUCAACCCCCCCGUCCCUUAGCUAACGCGUUAAGUUUGCCGCCUGGGGGAGUAGGACCGCAAGGUUAAAACUCAAAGAAAUUGACGGGGGCCCGCACAAGCAGAGGAGCAUGUGGCUUUAAUUCGAUGCAACGCGAAGAACCUUACCUGGGUUUGACAUGCAGCUGCACGUCCCAUGAAAGUGGGAUUCCUUCGAGGGUGCUGCACAGGUGCUGCAUGGCUGUCGUCAGUUCGUGCCGUGAGGUGUUUGGUUAAGUCCACCAACGAACGCAACCCCUUUGACCAGUUGCCAGCGGGUGAAGCCGGGAACUCUGGUCACACUGCCGUUUCACAACGGAGGAAGGUGGGGAUGACGUCAAGUCAGUAUGGCCCUUACAUCCAGGGCUGCACACGUGCUACAAUGGCCGGUACAGAGGGAUCCCAAGCCGCGAGGCGGAGGCAACCCCCCAGAGCCGGCCCCAGUUCAGAUCGGGGUCUGCAACCCGACCCCGUGAAGUCGGAUUUGCUAGUAACGGCGUAUCAGCUACGACGCCGUGAAUGCGUUGCCGGGCCUUGCACACACCGCCCGUCA